rnacentral:lncRNA from 1 species
GACUGAGUUCAUAUAAUAUUUUAAUUGGUGAAGAAAAUAGUGAUGUGAUUCACAAAUAUUUCAAAUAAUUGGCAUGAAACCCAAAUAUGGUAAUAAGCCCAAAUUAUGGUGAAAAACAAUAAUUUUUUAUUAAAUACGCGGUAAAACAUCAACUGGGAUGGACCAAGUCACAAUCCCCUCUAGUAAAUUACAUUGCGCUCGUCAUACAGUGCGUGUCUCAUCUCAACAUAGAAGUAUGUUGUGCAAUCC